rnacentral:tRNA from 1 species
UAAGAUUUAUUUUAAGUAAGAAUAUCCAACUGUUAAUUGGGGGGUUUAUAGUCUUAG